AUUGAACGCUGGCGGCAGGCCUAACACAUGCAAGUCGAGCGGAUGAAGGGAGCUUGCUCCUGGAUUCAGCGGCGGACGGGUGAGUAAUGCCUAGGAAUCUGCCUGGUAGUGGGGGAUAACGUCCGGAAACGGGCGCUAAUACCGCAUACGUCCUGAGGGAGAAAGUGGGGGAUCUUCGGACCUCACGCUAUCAGAUGAGCCUAGGUCGGAUUAGCUAGUUGGUGGGGUAAAGGCCUACCAAGGCGACGAUCCGUAACUGGUCUGAGAGGAUGAUCAGUCACACUGGAACUGAGACACGGUCCAGACUCCUACGGGAGGCAGCAGUGGGGAAUAUUGGACAAUGGGCGAAAGCCUGAUCCAGCCAUGCCGCGUGUGUGAAGAAGGUCUUCGGAUUGUAAAGCACUUUAAGUUGGGAGGAAGGGCAGUAAGUUAAUACCUUGCUGUUUUGACGUUACCACAGAAUAAGCACCGCUAAUUCC
rnacentral:rRNA from 1 species